GACCCGAACUGAAGUCGGCAAGGAGUGCCGACUUCAGUUGGGUCAUCGUGGUCUGCCCACGAAGACCACGCCGGCCGAACGGCCAGCGGGAUCUCCGCCCCACCCCCCUCUUCCCUCUUCCCUCUCCCUCUCUCUCUCUCUCUCCCCCUCUUUCUCUCCUCUGAGAGCCUCAUCCGAGCCCCAUCCUUUUCCCCAUCCCUCUAAAAAAAAAAAACUUGAGUUUUUCCCCUCAUCUUCUUCCUUUUUUUUGAAAGGAUCGCCGGAGCCACCGUCGCCGCCACCGCCGCCGGGUAUCCUUUCGUCGACGACCGGAGGGGUUCGUGAUAUCUGUGGCAGGAAUUUUUUAAGCGAUCCCAGGUGAUGAUAUGUGACUAUGGGGAUUACGGGGUGGAGUGAUCAUGAUGUAGUUAGCUAGUAGAUAUUGACUUUUUCUUUUGACUUAUGUAUAUAUGGACAUUUGAAUUGAAAGUUGGAAUUUAUCUUUGUUUAGCUA